rnacentral:rRNA from 1 species
AUUGAACGCUGGCGGCAUGCUUUACACAUGCAAGUCGAACGGUAACAGGCCGCAAGGUGCUGACGAGUGGCGAACGGGUGAGUAAUGCAUCGGAACGUGCCCAGUCGUGGGGGAUAACGCAGCGAAAGCUGCGCUAAUACCGCAUACGAUCUAUGGAUGAAAGCGGGGGACCGUAAGGCCUCGCGCGAUUGGAUGGGCCGAUGUCAGAUUAGGGAGUUGGUGGGGUAAAGGCUCACCAAGCCAACGAUCUGUAGCUGGUCUGAGAGGACGACCAGCCACACUGGGACGGAGACACGGCCCAGACUCCUACGGGAGGCAGCAGUGGGGAAUUUUGGACAAUGGGCGCAAGCCUGAUCCAGCAAUGCCGCGUGCAGGAAGAAGGCCUUCGGGUUGUAAACUGCUUUUGUACGGAACGAAACGGUCCUGGUUAAUACCUGGGGCUAAUGACGGUACCGUAAGAAUAAGCACCGGCUAACUACGUGCCAGCCGCCGCGGUAAAAC